GCGAACUUGGCAGAGAUGCCUUGGUGCCUUCGGGAACGCUGAGACAGGUGCUGCAUGGCUGUCGUCAGCUCGUGUUGUGAAAUGUUGGGUUAAGUCCCGCAACGAGCGCAACCCUUAUCCUUUGUUGCCAGCGAUUCGGUCGGGAACUCAAAGGAGACUGCCGGUGAUAAACCGGAGGAAGGUGGGGAUGACGUCAAGUCAUCAUGGCCCUUACGAGUAGGGCUACACACGUGCUACAAUGGCGCAUACAAAGAGAAGCGACCUCGCGAGAGCAAGCGGACCUCAUAAAGUGCGUCGUAGUCCGGAUCGGAGUCUGCAACUCGACUCCGUGAAGUCGGAAUCGCUAGUAAUCGUGGAUCAGAAUGCCACGGUGAAUACGUUCCCGGGCCUUGUACACACCGCCCGUCACACCAUGGGAGUGGGUUGCAAAAGAAGUAGGUAGCUUAACCUUCGGGAGGGCGCUUACCACUUUGUGAUUCAUGACUGGGGUGAAGUCGUAACAAGGUAGGCGUAGCGAG
rnacentral:rRNA from 1 species